rnacentral:rRNA from 1 species
GACGAACGCUGGCGGCGUGCUUAACACAUGCAAGUCGAACGGAAAGGCCCUGCUUUUGUGGGGUGCUCGAGUGGCGAACGGGUGAGUAACACGUGAGUAACCUGCCCUUGACUUUGGGAUAACUUCAGGAAACUGGGGCUAAUACCGGAUAGGAGCUCCUGCUGCAUGGUGGGGGUUGGAAAGUUUCGGCGGUUGGGGAUGGACUCGCGGCUUAUCAGCUUGUUGGUGGGGUAGUGGCUUACCAAGGCUUUGACGGGUAGCCGGCCUGAGAGGGUGACCGGCCACAUUGGGACUGAGGUACGGACCAGACUCCUACGGGAGGCAGCAGUGGGGAAUAUGGCGCAAUGGGCGGAAGCCUGAUGCAGCAACGCCGCGUGCGGGAUGACGGCCUUGGGGCUGUAAACCGCUUUCGCCUGUGACGAAGCGUGAGUGACGGUAAUGGGUAAAGAAGCACCGGCUAACUAC